rnacentral:lncRNA from 1 species
AUUCUUCUCUUUUUUUCAUUUCCUUUUUAUUGUUUUUUUAAACUUGUAAGUUUUGUUAGUUUUCCCACCAGGAUGAACUGAGCAAGAGACAGCUGCUGGGCUACCAGCAGAAACAGCUGGUUGUAUUAUUACUACAGUUACUGCAUAUACCUGUGCCCGCUCAGCUACAACCCAACAAGUCUGAUCCUGAGAUACAAAUGCUACAUCAGAAACGGAGUCACUGGAAAAGCAAAAGAAGUGAAAGAAAAGAUGAAGCCUCUCAGCUUGGAAAUGCAUGUUUCGAAGCACCAUGUGUACCCCAUUCUCUCCUUCACAGAUGAACUUCCAGGUCACGGAAAUAGUGAACGAGCCUCCGAAGCCUCUUUAUGUGCCUGGCUCCUUUGGACCUGAGUGGGUUUAAUUAAUGCCCACUGUACAUAUUAGUUUCCUGUUGCUGCUGUAACAAAUUACCACAAACCUUUAGAGGCUUAACAUAACACAAAUUGAUUGUCUUACAGUUCUAGAGAUUGAAAGGCCAAUAUGGCUCCCACUGGAUUGGGAGCCAGGGGUCAACAGGGCGGCAUGUCUUUCUGGAGGCUGCAGGGGGCAAUCUGUUUCCUUGCCUUUUCCAGCUUCCAGAGACUGCCCACAUUUCUUGCUUCCUGAACCCCUUUCCUUUUCAAAGUCUUCCUCUGGUUCUGACACCUCUGUCUCCCUUUUCCCUAUGUAAGAGGGAUGAGAUUUAAGAGGGAUGUGGAUAAAAAAUCUUGAGAUCACCCUGGAAAUUUCUAAUGACGUGAACCUGAGAACUGUAUUAUUUGACUCAGUGUGAUGUAAGAGAAAAACUAUGACUCUUGAGAUCAAAAGAGCCAGUAUUUAAAUCCCAACUUCAUUACUCACUGAGCCUUGAUUUCUCCAGCCUCGGUUUCCCCAUCUUUACAAUGGGGACAAAGACAUCUAUCUUGAAGGCUGUGGAGAAGACAAAAUUAUGCACACAAAAUUAUGCAAAUAAGAUGUUGCAAUAUUUGUAUUGAUAGCGAUAGCUUCUGUAACUCCUACGAGAAGUACCUGACACAUGGUAGCCGUUUGGCAAAUGUUAUCACUGUCCUUGGUGCUCAGUGUAUAAAGGGUGACACUUAAACAUCACCACAUUCUGAAGACCAAAUCUGAUCUGGGACUCUCAGGACUCACAAAACACAAAUUUUGGGUCUGGCUUCCUGCAAAAAGCCUGGGCCCAAUUCCAGCCUUUGGUCUCAGUUGGUCUCCAUAAGAUUGUCAUGGAGCUCAGAUUUGGCAAGUUUCAUAAAGU